UACGUAGGGUGCAAGCGUUAAUCGGAAUUACUGGGCGUAAAGCGUGCGCAGGCGGUUUUGUAAGUCUGAUGUGAAAUCCCCGGGUUCAACCUGGGAAUUGCAUUGGAGACUGCAAGGCUAGAAUCUGGCAGAGGGGGGUAGAAUUCCACGUGUAGCAGUGAAAUGCGUAGAGAUGUGGAGGAACACCGAUGGCGAAGGCAGCCCCCUGGGUCAAGAUUGACGCUCAUGCACGAAAGCGUGGGGAGCAAACAGG
rnacentral:rRNA from 1 species